rfam:Colwellia sp. 39_35_sub15_T18 BD02T18sub15_scaffold_31, whole genome shotgun sequence.
CGCCCGACUCAUAAGUAAUUGUGACCUAUAGCAGUAAUGUUAUAUGGAAAAAUUGGAUGAAUUGCUGGAAAGCUUCGUUUCUUUGGAAACAUGCCAAUCAGCAGCCAAGCCUGAUAAGCGUAUCAGGAAGGUUCAGAGACUAGAUGGUUCAGCACGAUCUUGCUGUUUAAUACAUCACUAGCGUCCGACACCCCACCGUCUAAAGUAUAAUUAGAUGAGGGUGAUGAUAUAGUCCAGGCUAGUACGAAAGUAUUAG